rnacentral:lncRNA from 1 species
AAAAGAAAAAUUUAGUUUAGGGUUUAAAACCCUAAUGCUGGUUGCAUGGAAAAGCUCAGUUUAGGGUUUAAAACCCUAAUGCUGGCUAAAGGAAAGAGUUCAGUUUAGGGUUUAAAACUCUAAUGCUGACUAAAAAGAAAAAGUUCAGUUUAGGGUUUAAAACCCUAAUGCUGGCUAAAGGAAAAAUUCAGUUUAGGGUUUAAAACCCUAAUGCUGAUUAUAUGGAAAAGCUCAGUUUAGGGUUUAAAACCCUAAUGCUGGCUAAAGGAAAGAGUUCAGUUUAGGGUUUAAAACCCUAAUGCUGACUAAAAGGAAAAAGUUCAGUUUAGGGUUUAAAACCCUAAUGCUGACUGAAAGGAAAAAGUUCAGUUUAGGGUUUAAAACCCUAAUGCUGACUGAAAGGGAAAGGUUCAGUUUAUGGUUUAAAACCCUAAUGCUGACUGGAAGAAAAGCUCAGUUUAGGGUUUAAAACCCUAAUGCUGGCUGAAAGGAAAAAGUUCAGUUUAGGGUUUAAAACCCUAAUGCUGACUGAAAGGAAAAUUCAGUUUAGGGUUUAAAACCCUAAUGCUGAUUGCAUGGAAAAGCUCAGUUUAGGGUUUAAAACCCUAAUGCUGAUUGCAUGAAGAAGCUCAGUUUAGGGUUUAAAACCCUAAUGCUGGCUGAAUGAAAAAGUUCAGUUCAGGGUUUAAAACCCUAAUGCUGACUGGCUGGGGAUAAAGCUCGAGAAUACUACACGAUCUAUUUUUGAGUUUUCUUGUUUUAAUAGAAGAUAAAAGGGAGUUUCGUGGAAGCUUACCUUUCGAGUGAAUUCAUCAUUGCCGAAGUACUUCCUGUACCCGUGUACUUUCUUCUUUGGGCGACACCUGCUUCUCGCACGGUUGUCUUGGAUUGGACCUGUUUCAACCUUUCAGACAAAGGAUCAUUUGUUAGUUCGGAAAUGACGGUCGGUUUGGUGACCUUGAUCGUUUCCAGUUGCUUUCUUGCGUCUUUGUUUCUGUUGUGAAGUUCCGCCAUUGAUUUGAUUUGAAUGGCGAAACCCUUCCAGAUUUUUCAGGCUUGUAUUUCCAGAUUCUGCGAUGAUUUGCCUCGUAAGGCCUCUC